UGGCGGCGUGCCUAACACAUGCAAGUCAACUUGACUGAAGGAGCAAUCUGACAGUAGAGUGGCGCAAGGGUGCGUAACGCGUAAGUAACUUGCCCAAGGUAAGGAAUAACGUCGAGAAAUCGGCGCUAAUACCUCAUAAUGCAGCGGAUCCGCAUGGAUAUGUUGUUAAAGGUUUACCGCCUUGGGAUAGGCUUGCGUCUGAUUAGUUAGUUGGUGUGGUAACGGCACACCAAGGCUACGAUCAGUAACUGGUCUGAGAGGAUGAUCAGUCACACUGGAACUGAGACACGGUCCAGACUCCUACGGGAGGCAGCAGUGAGGAAUAUUGGGCAAUGCUCGAAAGAGUGACCCAGCAACGCCGCGUGGAGGAUGAAGGUAUUCUAUAUCGUAAACUCCUGUGAGAGCAGACGAAAGACAGAUUAUUAAUCUGGAUGACUGUAUGCUCAGAGGAAGCCCCGGCUAACUACGUG
rnacentral:rRNA from 1 species